AACUUUCAGCAACGGAUCUCUUGGCUCUCGCAUCGAUGAAGAACGCAGCGAAAUGCGAUAAGUAAUGUGAAUGGCAGAAUUCAGUGAAUCAUCGAAUCUUUGAACGCACCUUGCGCUCCUUGGUAUUCCGAGGAGCAUGCCUGUUUGAGUGUCA
rnacentral:rRNA from 1 species